ACUCAAUAGAUACCCAGGUAGUCCACGCCCUAAACGAUGUCUACUAGUUGUUGGUGGAGUAAAAUCCAUGAGUAAACGCAGCUAACGCGUGAAGUAGACCGCCUGGGGAGUACGGUCGCAAGAUUAAACUCAAAGGAAUUGACGGGGGCCCGCACAAGCGGUGGAUUAUGUGGAUUAAUUCGAUGCAACGCGAAAACCUUACCUGGCCUUGACAUGCCACUAACGAAGCAGAGAUGCAUUAGGUGCCCGUAAGGGAAAGUGGACACAGGUGCUGCAUGGCUGUCGUCAGCUCGUGUCGUGAGAUGUUGGGUUAAGUCCCGCAACGAGCGCAACCCUUGCCAUUAAUUGCCAUCAUUUAGUUGGGCACUUUAAUGGGACUGCCGGUGACAAACCGGAGGAAGGUGGGGAUGACGUCAAGUCCUCAUGGCCCUUAUGGCCAGGGCUUCACACGUAGUACAAUGGUCGGUACAGAGAGUUGCCAACCCGCAGGGGGAGCUAAUCUCAGAAAGCCGAUCGUAGUCCGGAUUGUUCUCU
rnacentral:rRNA from 1 species